rnacentral:rRNA from 1 species
GACGAACGCUGGCGGCGUGCCUAAUACAUGCAAGUUGAGCGCUGAAGGUUGGUACUUGUACCGACUGGAUGAGCAGCGAACGGGUGAGUAACGCGUGGGGAAUCUGCCUUUGAGCGGGGGACAACAUUUGGAAACGAAUGCUAAUACCGCAUAAAAACUUUAAACACAAGUUUUAAGUUUGAAAGAUGCAAUUGCAUCACUCAAAGAUGAUCCCGCGUUGUAUUAGCUAGUUGGUGAGGUAGAGGCUCACCAAGGCGAUGAUACAUAGCCGACCUGAGAGGGUGAUCGGACACAUUGGGACUGAGACACGGCCCAAACUCCUACGGGAGGCAGCAGGAGGGAAUCUUCGGCAAUGGACGAAAGUCUGACCGAGCAACGCCGCGUGAGUGAAGAAGGUUUUCGGAUCGUAAAACUAUGUUGGUAGAGAAGAACGUUGGUGAGAGUGGAAAGCUCAUCAAGUGACGGUAACUACACAGAAAGGGACGGCUAACUACGUG